CAGCGCGGUGCGGCUCGGCUGGAGCGGACGGGCUGCAGCGGCAGCGAUGCUCGCGGGGUUACCGGGAUCACAUACCGGGAUCGUGUCCUUGCACACCUUCCCGAGAGAGAAACACCCUGGAAAGCAGCGGCUGUAGUUUCCAGCAAGGUGCUUGCCUCAGUGGGUGGCUGUCAGUGACAAGGAGUUCUGCAGGUUACAGGCACCUUUUUUGAUGCAUCCUUGUAACAUUUUAUCUUUAGGGAAGAAACUGCUGAUUGCAAACUGGAGAACUUACAAGUGGCCAGCAGCUUUGACUUCUGAGUCAAGAGUGAAACUUUGCUGUGGCUGAGGAUAAAGAGGAUAAUAACCGUACCAGCUUCACCAGCCCGUGGAGAGAACAGCUGAAGAGAGCAUGUGAAAUUGCUGUGAUGAAUAGCAGAAGAGGGGAAGGCUUCUGGCAGUGAGGGAGAUCUAAGCAGCACAUCAGGCCAGGAAGCAAACUGAGAGAAAACUUUUUUGGCCAGGAUUGAAUUAGGAGUGGUGGAUGGUGUUAAAGAACUGAAAGCCAACAGGUUCUCUGUGCAAAAGAAAACCAAAGAAAAAUGAAUGCAUCAAAAUAUGUGACUUAAAUCUUGUCUAAAUUAAAGAAGAAACACUAAAGUGCUG
rnacentral:lncRNA from 1 species